UAGAGUUUUCUAAACUCCCAACCCAUGUGAACUUACCUUUUGUUGCCUCGGCAGAGGUUACCUGGUACCUGGAGACAGGUUACCCUGUAGCAGCUGCCGGUGGACUACUAAACUCUUGUUAUUUUAUGUAAUCUGAGCGUCUUAUUUUAAUAAGUCA
rnacentral:misc_RNA from 1 species